GAAUAAAUUUUCUAGCCUAGGAGCUAUACCUUACAUUCCAUUUCAUUUCAAAACUGAAUAUUGUCGGGAGCUUAUCAUACAUUACAGUUCAGUUCCAGUUAACUUAAAAAUUUUAUGUUUCCAGUCAAAAAAUUGAAUAAUUCAAGCUCAGUUAUGAGUAACAGCACAAAUCAGAAUGGACUGUGGAUCCUGCAGUUAAUCCAGAACCAAAAGCAGCCCAUUACCUAUGAGAGGAUCAUAGCCCUUAUCGAAGAAGUAAAAAAAGAGCCGUUGGAUACACAGGAGAAAAUAAUAAUAAACGCCACAUUGCGAGCUGGCCUGCGACUUGGCUUUUUUCAACGCGUCGGUAAAAAGUUUUCAGUGCCAAUACUCCAUUAGAAAAUGUCCAAUUACUGUAUGCAGCUCAAACUAAACCAAAAUUAAAGCAGUUGAUGUACCUAUGCCGACAGAUAGAAUAUCACUUUUCAAAUAAACAAUAUGAUUUAUCACUUAUCACUUAUUGGUUAUGGCGUGUAUGGUUACACCUUUGGAUACAAGUCUGUUUGUUAACCGGACUAGCUAAUUCGCUUGAGGAUUCACAACUCGCGACCGCUUCUUAUCGAACGCUUUUCAGAACUGAUCUCAAUUUCUGAUCUCGUAUAUUAGUGAAAUCGAAGCCUAUGCUGAAGCCAAUCUUCUAGCAUUUCAAGAGCGUAGUUCUAUUAAGGUUUAUUGUUGAUGUUUACGUUAACAGAUAUUAGCAAGUGUGGCGGAGAUGUUUACAUUUACUGGAGUAGCGUGGGGUCUGGCUUAUUAAUGUUAUUGAUCGCUCAUCGAGUGCGUCAUUUGGUUUCGCUGGUCCCACAAGAGUUUUGAUAAUAAUAUAAUUCUGCUUUUGUCAGGGCUGUCAUUCUAACUUAUAGCCUUUUUAUUCAAGCAAAUCAAAUAUUUCUUUGGCAGAUAGAUUUGGAGAACUUAUUCUAAAUAAGCCUUUAGGAAUUUCAUUAGUCGAAGAAAACUUUACGGACAUUUUGAACAAUUAUGCUACGUGUAGGCCUAGACUUCAGUAAAAAUGUCACAAGACUUGAUAGAUGCCUUUUACAAAUAUUACUAAUAGCUUAAAUAACUAUUACUAAUAGACUUACAAAAAUACUGCCCUCAGCAGCAUAUCCUCAGUACUAGGCAUUAGCUUUUGAGAUGGAUGAUAUCAUCUGAUUAUGUAUGCUGGAAUACAAAAUG